AAAUUUGUUUGAAGUUUUCUGUAUGUUAAUGUGUAGGGACUGAUGGCAAUGCCUACUCCCAAUUUCAACUUUUGUCUCUCCCUAAUUCCAGAAAGAGUGAGCCUGUCAUCUUGCAAAGCAAGCCUUUGAUGAAGCUAUCUCCGAGCUGGAUACUUUGAGUGAGGAGUCAUACAAGGACAACACCUUAAUCAUGCAACUCUUGAGGGACAACCUCACAUUGUGGACAUCUGACAUCCCGGAGGAUGGAGUUGAAGAAGGGCAGAAGGCAGACAACUCUGCAAAAAACUGG